rnacentral:rRNA from 1 species
GACGAACGCUGGCGGCGUGCCUAAUACAUGCAAGUCGAACGGAAAGGUCAUGCGCUUGCUGGGUUCUCGUGUGGCGAACAGGUGUGAAAAACGCGUGGAUAACCUCCCUGUCAGUGGGGGAAAACUAGGGAAAUGGGGCUAUAAUCGCGUAUGAGCUCCUGCUGCACAUGGGGGGUUGGUAAGAUUCGGCGGUUGGGGAUAGUAUCGCGGCUUACCCGCUUGUUGGUGAGGUAGUGGCGUACCAGGGCUUCGACGGGUAGCCUGCCUGAGAGGGUGACCGGCCACAAUGGGACUGAGGUACGGCCCAGACUCCUACGGGAGGCAGCAGUGGAGAGUAUUACGCAGUAGGCGGAAGCCUGAUACAGCAGCGCCGGGUGCGGGAUGACGGGCUUCGGGUUAUAAACCGCUUUGGACUGGAACGUAGCGGGAGUGACGGUAAUGGAUCAGGAAGCACCGGCUAACUACGUG